UACGAAGGGGGCUAGCGUUGCUCGGAAUUACUGGGCGUAAAGCGCACGUAGGCGGGGCUUUAAGUCAGGGGUGAAAUCCUGGAGCUCAACUCCAGAACUGCCUUUGAUACUGAAGAUCUUGAGUUCGGGAGAGGUGAGUGGAACUGCGAGUGUAGAGGUGAAAUUCGUAGAUAUUCGCAAGAACACCAGUGGCGAAGGCGGCUCACUGGCCCGAUACUGACGCUGAUGCACGAAAGCGUGGGGAGCAAACAGG
rnacentral:rRNA from 1 species